rnacentral:rRNA from 1 species
CCAUGCAAGUCGAGCGGUAGAGAGAGCUUGCUUCUCUUGAGAGCGGCGGACGGGUGAGUAAUGCCUAGGAAUCUGCCUGGUAGUGGGGGAUAACGUUCGGAAACGGACGCUAAUACCGCAUACGUCCUACGGGAGAAAGCAGGGGACCUUCGGGCCUUGCGCUAUCAGAUGAGCCUAGGUCGGAUUAGCUAGUUGGUGGGGUAAUGGCUCACCAAGGCGACGAUCCGUAACUGGUCUGAGAGGAUGAUCAGUCACACUGGAACUGAGACACGGUCCAGACUCCUACGGGAGGCAGCAGUGGGGAAUAUUGGACAAUGGGCGAAAGCCUGAUCCAGCCAUGCCGCGUGUGUGAAGAAGGUCUUCGGAUUGUAAAGCACUUUAAGUUGGGAGGAAGGGCAGUAGAUUAAUACUUUGCUGUUUUGACGUUACCGACAGAAUAAGCACCGGCUAACUCUGUGCCAGCAGCCGCGGUAAUACAGAGGGUGCAAGCGUUAAUCGGAAU